rnacentral:lncRNA from 1 species
GACUUGCUUUAUGCUGUUGUAUCUGCAUCCACGGUGCUGACUCUGCUGUGCUUAGCUCGUGGAACCUCCUAAGAGCACUUUACAUGAGAGUACUGUUGUCAUUCCAUUUCAUGGAUGAGGAGACUGAGAGAGGCUGAAGGUCUUGUUCACACUCACACAGCUAAAUAAGUAGAGAUUGGAGUUGAAAUCCAGGCCCUGCCCAGAGGAGUCCAUAUCACAAAUUACAAGGUAAAGAAGUAAUCAUACAGGAAGUUGGCUCUGUCUCUGCCCUUGGCAUGUGCCAAGGAUUAGCCAGCUUCUCUAGCACGGAGCCUCCCUCUGACUGUCGUACAGCAGGAAUCUUUGGAAGUUUGAUUAAUUUUUUGUGUGCUGCUGAGCCUUAUGCAUGCUAGGCAGCCUCCCUAGCACGAAGCCACACUCCCAGCCAUACAGGGUGUAUUACUAUUUUAGGCUUCCACAAAUAGAGUGGUAACAGCAAAGCCAACUUACAUUCCUGAAGGCCCUCACCUGUGAGAUCUCAAACACGUUACAUUGUAACAGUGGAAAAUGGUCACUGCUGAAGUUCAGACCUCUCUCUCUCUUCCUUCUGUGCUGCCUAUGGGUAUCUGGUCCUAUGGCGGUCCAAAAGAACCAAACCCAAAACAAAACCAAAAUAAAACAACAACCAAAGCACCUUAAUACAUUUUAUUUAUUUAUUGUGAGUGUGUGUGUGUGUGUGUGUGUGUGGUCAGAGGACAAUUUACAGGAUUCAAUUGCUCCCUCUCCUUCUGACAUGAGGGUUUCAGGGGUUGGACUCAGGAUGUCAGGUUUCUGGGCAGGUGCCUUUACCUGAUGAUCCACCUGGCCAGCCCUAGAAUAAUGUUUUAGCUCCGUAGACCUUUGGGGAAAUUUAUCAGAGACUAUUGUAUCCAUAAAGCUGAAACCUAGCCACUCCUGUCCUCAUGGAAGCCGUUUCUUCUGUCCCUGUUGUGGCUGUCACUAACUUCCACUGCUGCUGUAAGAGCAUCAUUAAUCAGAAGCAUUUUCUGGGAACCGGGCCCUGUGCCAACCGCUUCGUGCAACUUCUCAUUUAACCCUCCGCAGCAGCAGAGGGGCAGUGCCACUGAACCUAUUCUAUAGAUGAGAAAGCUGAGACUGGGAGGGCUUGGCUGUAAGAAACACGAGCAACGAGUCAGCCCUGGCUGACUACAAAGGCUUGGCUUGUGACCACUUAAUUAGCUAUUACCUAAUUUUUAUUUCUCAGUUAAGUGAACUGUCUUUUGACCUCUGUCUGCCCCGCUGUUUAUUUUCCUUGGCUUCAAAUCAUGGCAUCAUUUCUAAUGCUUGUGCUUUUAGUCACUAAUCUGGUUACUUCUUUUCUUCCAGUGCCUCUUCGGAAAUGUAUCUACACAGUCCCUUCUUUCUGGGCAGCCUUCACGUCAUCCAUAGCCAUCUCACCCCUCUCUCUCCCCAGCCCCAGCCCUCCAAAGCAAAGCUGGUGAUUCCAGAACUUUCCAAUGCUCAGCUGGCUUUUUUGUUGAGGUGCCAUCGCACAUAUCCAAGGACAGUGCUGAGCUCCUCAUUGCCCGCCUAAAGUCCUGACUGCUGGCAUUACAGGCAUGCGCCACCGCGCCCUGUUAUGUGGUAGUAGGGCUUUGUGCUAGGUAGGCUAGCAAGCUCCUAACCGGGCUAGUUCCCUUUCUGUCGAGUAGCCAGCUCGCCACUACUCUCAGGAAAAAUGAAGGUUCCUGAACACACUCUUGCCAUAUCCAGCCUUUGCCUUCUCUCCUAUUGUUCUGGGGUCUGGCCACUUCAACCGUGAAGUUCCAAGGUUGCUUUUUCCUCUUCCUCUUGGGAGGAGCUGGGCUGUUCUGGCAGGAGUCACUGGCCAUUUCUAAGCCUGCCACAAACCCCAGUUCUUUAGACUCAUGGUGAUCUGUAGUGACUGAGAUCAUUUAGGACCUGAUCUAGAAACUAUGUCUCUCUGUUAAUUUAACUAAGAUGGCAGGUGCAGCAGUUAAGAGGUGAUGUCCGAGGGGUAGGUCUCAGUCCAAAAGGCCACAGGACGGAUGUGGUCCAACCUGUAGGGCUCCUCUCUUGUACUCUUUGUUAAGGCAUUUCACUCUUUGACUAUGUUAAUAGCAUGGAUUUUAAAUACAGCUUUCACAUUUGCACAAGGCUUGAGUGAUUUUCCAGGACCCAGUCCUUCCUGCUGUUGACAAGAGAGACAUCCUGUCUGUUAAGACGAUUACUGCAGAUGGCUACUCUUGCUCAUUAUAUGUGGGAUUUGUUUUGUUUUGUUUUAUUGAGGGUCUCAUGUUGCCCAAAUUGGCCUCCUAUUCUCUGAGUAGCUGAAGAUGACCUUGAAUUCAGAUACUCUUGUCUGUAUUCCUCCUGAGUGCUGGAUGACAAGCAUUCCCACCUUCAUACCCAGCUUUGUACCCAGCUUCUUAUGCUGGCGUUAAGCGUAGGUUAGCCUGCGAAGAAAAAAGCUUGUUAUUCAUGCUUGCGACUCCAUUUCCCAUUGCUACCCUUGACCAUUCUCUGUAUCCAUUGGCUCCGUGUCCGUAAUUGUAACGGUCACUGGGGAUCUUUGAAGACUUGGUUUGGGUAUGUAGAUUCAGAAUCCGGGCCAAGGAUUAAUCCCUGCAGAGAUUGAUGAGAAAUAUAAGACUUUAAAACUUUGGCUAUACUGGUUAUAAAAUAAUUUAAGAAUACAGAGCAAGGUUUAAAAAAUUUUAAUUAAUGUUUUAAGAAUUCCAUAUGCAUAUAGUGUGUUUAAUAUUUAAAAGUGGCAUUCAACUGUCAUUGUUAUUUAAUUAAACUGUGGCCUUAUGCUUUCAGAAGACAAUUUAUUUUUCUCACCUAAAGCAUAUUAAAUCAUUGAAAAAUUCCAGGUCCAAAGUCUGUUCAUAGGUGCAGACAUGCCUCCUCCCACAGGACAUAAUUCCUAUGCUUGAUAGAAGCCGGGAUACAGUCCCUAGAACUAAGCUUUAAUUCUAAUUCAGUCAUUGACAACUGUGACUUUUAAAAACGUAUCAUUUUCUGACUCCUUGUUUUCUUAUUGUAAAAGAAGGGGAUGGAAACACUGUUGGAUUUCUUUUUGUUGUAUUUUAAAUGUUCAAUUAAUUCACUUUUUCCAAGAAACCUACUAAAUGCAGCCUCUAUGUAAAGCACAUAGAAGUGGUACUU